ensembl:lncRNA
UCACCUUGGUCAGUCCAUCUAAACCGCUCACUUGACUUUCACAGAAAUGAUUAUUGUUAUUAUUGUUCUUUUUUUAGUGUUAUUAUUUCAUCUCUUCUAUUCUCUAGGUAACCCUUCUUUCAUUCACAGUCUUCCUGUAGUUUGCACAUACUUAAUCUUUUAUAUUCUGCACUACCUAAUAAAGUAUCCAUCUAUCCAUCGAUCUAUCUAUCCAUCUAUCUAGUCUAUCUGUAGUAUAACUACAUGGGACAGAUCAGGGGGGGCUCACUCCAGCCUAUCCAAUGACAGUGAAAUUACUAAAAUGAUACAACUUAUGCAGAUAUGCUGUACAUGUUAAAUUGGAUGCAGAACAUGACAGAAGAAAAAUAAAAAUGAAUGUAUUAUUCAUAAAGUUAAAGGCUGUGUUGUGUUACUGCUCAUAAAUGGCUGUGUUGUGUGUGACAACCUCAACACUCAGUUAACUGUUCAAUGGAAAGUAGGGGUCGGAGCCACUCCGUGUACUUCUACACUAACAUUAAUCCUUGUUUUAUGUUUUAUGUUUGUCCACUGAGAAUUAACAAAGUCUAUCAUACAUGUCCACAAGUCUGAGGUUUUAAAAAAAUAGUAUAAAAUUAAAUAUUAUUUAGGUUAUUCUGGAUUUUCUGUCCUUCUUGAUUUUCAAUAAUUUUUGAACAUUGUUCUCAAAAGUGCAGUUGGACCUUGUUAUUUCUCAGUUGACAUCAUAUUAAUGCACUGUUUCUUAUCAUAAAAGGUUCUUAUCUAUAUUUACAUUGUAAAACGGACUAUGUGAAGUGUGAUUGAAUAUGUCCAUGCGAUUUGCAACCUAGCGAUUGUUUAAAAGGUUAAAAUUUCAUGUCGUUGUUUUAUAAUCUGAAUAUGAACUGUGAAGUUAUGCCAGUGCACAACAGCAUAUUAUUACUUUCCAUUUCGGCAUCACAAGCAUGUGAGGAAAUGUUACCAACAUUACCAUUUUAAAAGAAAUAUGUCAGAAGUUUCAUUCCA